UAGGUGAAGUGGUUUACCCAUGGAGCUGAAGCCAGUCGCAGAUACCAGCUGGCUGCAACUGUUUAUUAAAAACACAGCACUGUGCAAACACGAAAGUGGACGUAUACGGUGUGACGCCUGCCCGGUGCUGGAAGGUUAAUUGAUGGGGUUAUCCGUAAGGAGAAGCUCUUGAUCGAAGCCCCAGUAAACGGCGGCCGUAACUAUAACGGUCCUAAGGUAGCGAAAUUCCUUGUCGGGUAAGUUCCGACCUGCACGAAUGGCGUAAUGAUGGCCACGCUGUCUCCACCCGAGACUCAGUGAAAUUGAACUCGCUGUGAAGAUGCAGUGUACCCGCGGCAAGACGGAAAGACCCCGUGAACCUUUACUAUAGCUUGACACUGAACAUUGAGCCUUGAUGUGUAGGAUAGGUGGGAGGCUUUGAAGUGUGGACGCCAGUCUGCAUGGAGCCAACCUUGAAAUACCACCCUUUAAUGUUUGAUGUUCUAACGUUGCCCCGUGAUCCGGGGUGCGGACAGUGUCUGGUGGGUAGUUUGACUGGGGCGGUCUCCUCCCAAAGAGUAACG
rnacentral:rRNA from 1 species